AGAUCAUACCCUUAGGUGCAUCAACCAAGAUCCACACUUGAUAGGUAUACAUUGAGUCUAUCUCAAAUUUUAUGGCUUCUAGCUAUCUGUUUGAGUCUCUACUAAUGACAGCUUUCGAAUAGAUCAGUGGAUCAUCAUCCUAAAUGAUAUUGAUCAAAUUAUCAUUCUCAAUGAUAAAAUUAUAUCUCAGAGGUGCUUGACGCACUCUAUCUAACCUUC
rnacentral:lncRNA from 1 species